AGAGCUAACGCAGGGAACUGAAACAUCUUAGUACCUGUAGGAAGAGAAAAUAAAUUAAUGAUUCCCCCAGUAGUGGCGAGCGAACGGGGAACAGCCCAAACCAGUGGCGUCGCAAGGCGUGGCUGGGGUUGUAGGACCGCGACAUUGUAUGCAAAUCGUGAACAGAACACUUUGGAAAAUGUGACCAUAGACGGUGAUAGUCCAGUAUGUGAAGCGAAAUGCAGCAUAGCGGUAUCCUGAGUAACGCGGGACACGAGGAAUCCUGCGCGAAUCUGCCGGGACCAUCCGGUAAGGCUAAAUACUCCCGUGAGACCGAUAGCGAACGAGUACUGUGAAGGAAAGGUGAAAAGAACCCCGAGCAGGGGAGUGAAAUAGUUCCUGAAACCAUGCGCCUACAAGCGGUCGGAGCACAGCAAUGUGUGACGGCGUGCCUUUUGCAUAAUGAUCCUACGAGUUACCGUCACUGGCGAGGUUGAGUACCAUGAGGUACGUAGCCGCAGUGAAAGCGAGCCUGAACAGGGCGCACAGUCAGUGGGGGUAGACGCGAAACCAAGUGAUCUACACUUGGCCAGGAUGAAGUCCCGGUAACACGGGAUGGAGGUCCGCACCAAUAAGCGUUGAAAAGCUUCUGGAUGAGCCGAGUGUAGGAGUGAAAGGCCAAUCAAACUUGGAGAUAGCUCGUACUCCCCGAAAGGCAUUUAGGUGCCGCGUCGGAUGGUCACCGUGAGAGGUAGAGCGACCGAUAGGACAAGAGGGCUUCACCGCCUAUCGAGUCCUGACGAACUCCGAAUGCUCACGGUCUGCAGUCCGGCAGUAAGGGGGCGGGUGCUAAGGUCCGUCCCCGAGAGGAGAAGAAUCCAGACCGCCGUCUAAGGUCCCGGAGUUCUGCCUGAGUUAGUCUAACGAAGUCUGGUCCCUAUGACAGCUAGGAUGUUGGCUUGGAAGCAGCCAUUCAUUCAAAGAGUGCGUAACAGCUCACUAGUCGAGGGUCCGGGCAUGGAUAAUAAUCGGGUAUAAGGCAGACACCGAAGGCGCGGGAUAGCAAUUAUAAAAGUAUCGGUAGGGGAGCAUACUCACAGCGUCGAAUGGUGUACGUAAGUUAUCCUGGAGCGGUGAGUAAAGCAAAUGUAGGAAUAAGUAACGAUAAGGAGGGUUAGAUUCCCUCCCGCUGUAAGACCAAGGUUUCCCGGGCAAUGCCAAUCAGCCCGGGGUCAGUCGGGUCCUAAGUCUAAGCCGAACGGCGAUGGCGAUGGCAGAGACGGUUAAUAUUCCGUCACUGCCGCAUGGGGCGACGUGGAGACGGAGCAGUGAAACCACCGCGGGGCGACGGAAGUCCCCGUUGAAG
rnacentral:rRNA from 1 species